rnacentral:rRNA from 1 species
UCCAGAUCUCUACGCAUUUCACCGCUACACCUGGAAUUCUACCCCCCUCUACAAGACUCUAGCUUGCCAGUUUCAAAUGCAGUUCCCAAGUUAAGCUCGGGGAUUUCACAUCUGACUUAACAAACCGCCUGCGUGCGCUUUACGCCCAGUAAUUCCGAUUAACGCUUGCACCCUCCGUAUUACCGCGGCUGCUGGCACGGAGUUAGCCGGUGCUUCUUCUGCGAGUAACGUCAAUGAACAGUGCUAUUAACACCGAACCCUUCCUCCUCGCUGAAAGUGCUUUACAACCCGAAGGCCUUCUUCACACACGCGGCAUGGCUGCAUCAGGCUUGCGCCCAUUGUGCAAUAUUCCCCACUGCUGCCUCCCGUAGGAGUCUGGACCGUGUCUCAGUUCCAGUGUGGCUGGUCAUCCUCUCAGACCAGCUAGGGAUCGUCGCCUAGGUGAGCCAUUACCUCACCUACUAGCUAAUCCCAUCUGGGCACAUCCGAUGGUGUGAGGCCCGAAGGUCCCCCACUUUGGUCCGAAGACGUUAUGCGGUAUUAGCUACCGUUUCCAGUAGUUAUCCCCCUCCAUCGGGCAGUUUCCCAGACAUUACUCACCCGUCCGCCGCUCGUCACCCAGGAGCAAGCUCCUUGUGCUACCGCUCGACUUGCAUGUGUUAGGCCUGCCGCCAGCGUUCAAUCUG